GACGAGCGCUGGCGGCGUGCUUAACACAUGCAAGUCGAACGGAAAGGCCCUGCUUUUGUGGGGUGCUCGAGUGGCGAACGGGUGAGUAACACGUGAGUAACCUGCCCUUGACUUUGGGAUAACUUCAGGAAACUGGGGAUAAUACCGGAUAGGAGCUCCUGCUGCAUGGUGGGGGAUGGAAAGUUUCGGCGGUUGGGGAUGGACUCGCGGCUUAUCAGCUUGUUGGUGGGGUAGUGGCUUACCAAGGCUUUGACGGGUAGCCGGCCUGAGAGGGUGACCGGCCACAUUGGGACUGAGAUACGGCCCAGACUCCUACGGGAGGCAGCAGUGGGGAAUAUUGCACAAUGGGCGGAAGCCUGAUACAGCAACGCCGCGUGCGGGAUGACGGCCUUCGGGUUGUAAACCGCUUUCGCCUGUGACGAAGCGUGAGUGACGGUAAUGGGUAAAGAAGCACCGGCUAACUACGUG
rnacentral:rRNA from 1 species